rnacentral:rRNA from 1 species
GAACGCUGGCGGCGUGCCUAAUACAUGCAAGUCGAACGAAUCUCUUCGGAGAUGAGUGGCGAACGGGUGAGUAAUACAUAGGUAACCUGCCCCUGUGCGGGGGAUAACAGGAGGAAACUCCUGCUAAUACCGCAUAGCCAUGAGCACCGCAUGGAGCUCAUGCCAAAUAUCCUUUAUGGGAUAGCGCAGGGAUGGACCUAUGGCGCAUUAGCUUGUUGGCGGGGCAACGGCCCACCAAGGCAACGAUGCGUAGCCGGCCUGAGAGGGCGGACGGCCACAUUGGGACUGAGACACGGCCCAGACUCCUACGGGAGGCAGCAGUAGGGAAUUUUCGGCAAUGGGGGAAACCCUGACCGAGCAACGCCGCGUGAGCGAAGAAGGCCUUCGGGUCGUAAAGCUCUGUUGUAAAGGAAGAACGGCGCAUACAGGAAAUGGUAUGCGAGUGACGGUACUUUACCAGAAAGCCACGGCUAACUACGUGCCAGCAGCCGCGGUAAUACGUAGGUGGCGAGCGUUAUCCGGAAUCAUUGGGCGUAAAGAGGGAGCAGGCGGCCGCAAGGGUCUGUGGUGAAAGACCGAAGCUAAACUUCGGUAAGCCAUGGAAACCGGGCGGCUAGAGUGCGGAAGAGGAUCGUGGAAUUCCAUGUGUAGCGGUGAAAUGCGUAGAUAUAUGGAGGAACACCAGUGGCGAAGGCGACGGUCUGGGCCGCAACUGACGCUCAUUCCCGAAAGCGUGGGGAGCAAAUAGGAUUAGAUACCCUAGUAGUCCACGCCGUAAACGAUGGUCACUAAGUGUCGGGGGUCAAACCCCGGUGCUGCAGUCAACGCAAUAAGUGACCCGCCUGAGUAGUACGUUCGCAAGAAUGAAACUCAAAGGAAUUGACGGA